UACGUAGGGUGCAAGCGUUGUCCGGAAUUAUUGGGCGUAAAGAGCUUGUAGGCGGUUUGUCGCGUCUGCUGUGAAAUUUCGGGGCUCAACCCCGAACUUGCAGUGGGUACGGGCAGACUAGAGUGUGGUAGGGGAGACUGGAAUUCCUGGUGUAGUGGUGAAAUGCGCAGAUAUCAGGAGGAACACCGGUGGCGAAGGCGGGUCUCUGGGCCGUAACUGACGCUGAGGAGCGAAAGCAUGGGGGAGCGAACAGG
rnacentral:rRNA from 1 species